GACGAACGCUGGCGGCGUGCUUAACACAUGCAAGUCGAACGGAAAGGCCCUGCUUUUGUGGGGUGCUCGAGUGGCGCACGGGUGAGUAACACGUGAGUAACCUGCCCUUGACUUUGGGAUAACUUCAGGAAACUGGGGCUCAUACCGGAUAGGAGCUCCUGCUGCAUGGUGGGGGUUGGAAAGUUUCGGCGGUUGGGGAUGGACUCGCGGCUUAUCAGCUUGUUGGUGGGGUAGUGGCUUACCAAGGCUUUGACGGGUAGCCGGCCUGAGAGGGUGACCGGCCACAAUGGGACUGAGAUACGGCCCAGAAUCCUACGGGAGGCAGCAGUGGGGAAUAUUGCACAAUGGGCGGAAGCCUGAUGCAGCAACGCCGCGUGCGGGAUGACGGGCUUCGGGUUGUAAACCGCUUUCGCAUGUGACGAAGCGUGAGUGACGGUAAUGGGUAAAGAAGCACCGGCUAACUACGUG
rnacentral:rRNA from 1 species